ACGCUAUCUACAGGCUUAACACAUGCAAGUCGAGGGGCAGCAUUUUAGUUUGCUUGCAAACUGAAGAUGGCGACCGGCGCACGGGUGAGUAACACGUAUCCAACCUGCCGAUAACUCCGGGAUAGCCUUUCGAAAGAAAGAUUAAUACCGGAUAGCAUACGAAUAUCGCAUGAUAUUUUUAUUAAAGAAUUUCGGUUAUCGAUGGGGAUGCGUUCCAUUAGUUUGUUGGCGGGGUAACGGCCCACCAAGACUACGAUGGAUAGGGGUUCUGAGAGGAAGGUCCCCCACAUUGGAACUGAGACACGGUCCAAACUCCUACGGGAGGCAGCAGUGAGGAAUAUUGGUCAAUGGGCGCGAGCCUGAACCAGCCAAGUAGCGUGAAGGAUGAAGGCUCUAUGGGUCGUAAACUUCUUUUAUAUGGGAAUAAAGUUUUCCACGUGUGGAAUUUUGUAUGUACCAUAUGAAUAAGGGUCGGCUAACUCCGUGCCAGCAGCCGCGGUAAUACGGAGGAUCCGAGCGUUAUCCGGAUUUAUUGGGUUUAAAGGGAGCGUAGGUGGAUUGUUAAGUCAGUUGUGAAAGUUUGCGGCUCAACCGUAAAAUUGCAGUUGAAACUGGCAGUCUUGAGUACAGUAGAGGUGGGCGGAAUUCGUGGUGUAGCGGUGAAAUGCUUAGAUAUCACGAAGAACUCCGAUUGCGAAGGCAGCUCACUAGACUGUCACUGACACUGAUGCUCGAAAGUGUGGGUAUCAAACAGGAUUAGAUACCCUGGUAGUCCACACAGUAAACGAUGAAUACUCGCUGUUUGCGAUAUACAGUAAGCGGCCAAGCGAAAGCAUUAAGUAUUCCACCUGGGGAGUACGCCGGCAACGGUGAAACUCAAAGGAAUUGACGGGGGCCCGCACAAGCGGAGGAACAUGUGGUUUAAUUCGAUGAUACGCGAGGAACCUUACCCGGGCUUAAAUUGCAACAGAAUAUAUUGGAAACAGUAUAGCCGUAAGGCUGUUGUGAAGGUGCUGCAUGGUUGUCGUCAGCUCGUGCCGUGAGGUGUCGGCUUAAGUGCCAUAACGAGCGCAACCCUUAUCUUUAGUUACUAACAGGUCAUGCUGAGGACUCUAGAGAGACUGCCGUCGUAAGAUGUGAGGAAGGUGGGGAUGACGUCAAAUCAGCACGGCCCUUACGUCCGGGGCUACACACGUGUUACAAUGGGGGGUACAGAAGGCGGCUACCUGGUGACAGGAUGCUAAUCCCAAAAACCUCUCUCAGUUCGGAUCGAAGUCUGCAACCCGACUUCGUGAAGCUGGAUUCGCUAGUAAUCGCGCAUCAGCCAUGGCGCGGUGAAUACGUUCCCGGGCCUUGUACACACCGCCCGUCAAGCCAUGAAAGCCGGGGGUACCUGAAGUACGUAACCGAAAGGAGCGUCCUAGGGUAAGACUGGUAAUUGGG
rnacentral:rRNA from 1 species